rnacentral:rRNA from 1 species
CUGCCAGACUCCUACGGGAGGCAGCAGUGGGGAAUAUUGCACAAUGGGGGGGACCCUGAUGCAGCGACGCCGCGUGAGCGAUGAAGUAUUUCGGUAUGUAAAGCUCUAUCAGCAGGGAAGAAAAUGACGGUACCUGACUAAGAAGCCCCGGCUAACUACGUGCCAGCAGCCGCGGUAAUACGUAGGGGGCAAGCGUUAUCCGGAUUUACUGGGUGUAAAGGGAGCGUAGACGGCGGUGCAAGCCAGAUGUGGAAGCCCGGGGCUCAACCCCGGGACUGCAUUUGGAACUGUGCUGCUAGAGUGUCGGAGAGGCAGGCGGAAUUCCUAGUGUAGCGGUGAAGUGCGUAGAUAUUAGGAGGAACACCAGUGGCGAAGGCGGCCUGCUGGACGAUGACUGACGUUGAGGCUCGAAAGCGUGGGGAGCAAACAGGAUUAGAUACCCGCGUAA